AACCGGGAUUGCCUUAGUAACGGCGAGUGAAGCGGCAAAAGCUCAAAUUUGAAAUCUGGUACCUUCGGUGCCCGAGUUGUAAUUUGGAGAGGGCAACUUUGGGGCCGUUCCUUGUCUAUGUUCCUUGGAACAGGACGUCAUAGAGGGUGAGAAUCCCGUGUGGCGAGGAGUGCGGUUCUUUGUAAAGUGCCUUCGAAGAGUCGAGUUGUUUGGGAAUGCAGCUCUAAGUGGGUGGUAAAUUCCAUCUAAAGCUAAAUAUUGGCGAGAGACCGAUAGCGAACAAGUACAGUGAUGGAAAGAUGAAAAGAACUUUGAAAAGAGAGUGAAAAAGUACGUGAAAUUGUUGAAAGGGAAGGGCAUUUGAUCAGACAUGGUGUUUUGUGCCCUCUGCUCCUUGUGGGUAGGGGAAUCUCGCAUUUCACUGGGCCAGCAUCAGUUUUGGUGGCAGGAUAAAUCCAUAGGAAUGUAGCUUGCCUCGGUAAGUAUUAUAGCCUGUGGGAAUACUGCCAGCUGGGACUGAGGACUGCGACGUAAGUCAAGGAUGCUGGCAUAAUGGUUAUAUGCCGCCCGUCUUGAAACACGGACCUCCUGUGUGAGGGUUCCCCCCAUA
rnacentral:rRNA from 1 species